GAGACCCUGCUACGGAGGGGGCGCGACCGACGUGGACGCGAGGGGUCGGGGGUCGGGGGACACGCGUUCUGCCCCCGCUGCACAUGGACGCGCGCCUGGAGCACGCACAGGGGGCUGAGCAGACAAAGUACUUGGCGUCUGGGUGACUGCACUCUCCCGCGGGGCACCUGCUUGGGACCGGCGCCCCCGCUCGGCCUCACGUGGUCUUUCCCCGCCUGGCCCGCGAGGCGCGGGACGGGGCGGGGCUGGUGACGCGGCGCGGAGACCCCGGGGGCGGGGAGGGCCGGUGCGGGGCGCGCGUUUCCUCCGCGAGCCCGUCAGUGUCGAGGCGCGGAGCCGGAGCCCCCUCAGCCCCGCGCCCGGAAGCGGAGCGAUGCCGAUCGGUCUGGCAGCCCCUCGCGUGCACCACGCCGGAGACAAAGCCAGCGCGUGAGCGGCGCCCUCGGUCCGCGCUCCCGGGUAGGGUGAGCCUCAAAGCAGGAGCGCUGAACCAGGCUACCAUCUGACGACCAUCAGCUACUGCUGCCAGUCUGUCCCCUGCCCAGGCCUGUCACCGUGUCAUCUCUCAGCAGGGGCAGCAGAAUGAAAGAAGGCAUGUCCAAUAACAGCACCGCCAGCAUUUCCCAGGCCCGGAAGGCUGUGGAGCAGCUGAAGAUGGAGGCCUGUAUGGACAGGGUGAAGGUGUCCCAGGCGGCAGCAGACCUCCUGGCCUACUGUGAAGCCCACGUGCGGGAGGACCCUCUCAUCAUCCCGGUGCCUGCGUCAGAAAACCCUUUCCGAGAGAAGAAGUUCUUCUGUACCAUCCUCUGACUCUCCGUUUGUUGUGGAAAUGUCUCCUUUUCUGUCCAUAAAACCCCUGGUAGAGACUGCGCAUGCUCUUAGCUUUAGGGAGCCCCGCCCACACCCAGCCCCGCCCAACCAGGACUGACCGUCCUGUCCCGUCUUUUCAUUGGUUUUCCUCAUUGCGCUCCAUCUCACUUUUUCUUUUCAUUUUCAUUUUAUUUUCAUUAUUAGAAAAGCAAACAGACAUGUUUGUAGCCGGAUAACAAGUGUGCCAAGUAUAAAUAAGUAUGGGCUUAAGGGCUUAAAUUUUUUAAACAUCAGUUCCCCAGUGUACAUACAUCGAGUUUAUACAUUUCAGUGGAUUAUUUACUGAGAAGGGAAAAUAUAUUCAACAAGCCCCCAUUUGCAAUCGCUUUGUCAAAUUAGAGCAUCUAUUGGUAGUUUCCAUCGCUCUUGCUGGAGAAAGCAGUUUUAUAAGUUCUCUAUUUCCUGCUUUUCCCGUUAAAGAAGAAAUAACUCCCAUCAUCAGACAAUUUUCCAAACAUGGGUCUUCCUGGGACCCUGCAGCCCAGACCUUGACAGAGGGCACCCUGUUUCCCACGAUUAUCACUGAUCCCUUUGGAGGUGGUCCUUCCACGAGUGGAGGUGUAGAGGGGAUAUUGGAGGGAGCUUAGCUGUAAACGUCACAACCAUGACACUGUUUACGUGUUCCAUCCAGGCUGGCCGGGGGCACCACCUCUCCUCUCUGUAUGCCACCCUGCCCUGCUCCCUCCUGUGUUGGCUCCUCCUCUGUGGGACUGACAUGAGCCGAAUUGAUGGGGGCCUGUUUGGGGCUCGGUAGUAUGUCCCCCUCCCCCAGAGGCGUGAGUCAAGGGCAGCAGCUCAGCCUGUACCAUCCACAGAUUGGAGCAUUCACACCCAUCCACUUCUUUAAAUCCCCAUGAAUAAAUAAAUACUGUGAGACUAUGUCUGGUCUUAAGAGAGGGAAACUGAGGCACAGAAUGACAGUGUAGUUUCCCCGAGGUUGUAGAUAGUAAGCAGGAAGACUGGGACCUGACUGCAGACACCAGUUCCCAGCCUUGAGCUCCACUGCCUUCCAGGCGUACCUGUUUGCAGGUAGGCAGGUAAACCCACAAACAACCUGAGCCAUGUGCCAUGACACCCCAUCGCUGGGGUCUGCUCCGUGGCACACUUCUCUUCCAGUCUUUGCCAGGAGUAGGCAUGUCGACCGGUAUUCUGGCAGCUUGUGGAAGGUGAUGUGUGACUGCCCCUGUGGGAGGCUGGAUAGAGUUUGAUUUUUCUGAGACAAACUUGCAAGUCCACAGAAAACAAACCCCUCCCACCCCUGAUGAAGGGAAUAAACCAUAGGGGCAGAGAGCGCUCUGUCCAAGUUUGUUCUAUUCUAUUUGUUGGACACUGCCUCCCUCCUGGCUCCGGCAGCGACUUCACCAUGUGCAGCAGGGCAAGUCAUCGUAUCCCUGAAACACUCCAACCUGCAAAUUGCGGAUCAUGGUAACGACUCCUCCUGCCUGUCUGUCUAGGACAGAGGGAGAUGAUACAUAAAUGAAAGCUCUGAUUACCAUUUAAAACAAAUCCAUAUACCAAAUGCUAGGACAUAGCGUAGGGAAGAGAGCCACGGUUCCGUUGGAGGAAUCCUGUAAAAAUUGCCUGCAAAGAGGCAAGUAUAAUUUUCAGAUUAAAUUAUUGACUGGCUACCCUUGUAAAUGGUUUUAGGACAUUUGUAUUCUUGGCUGCUUUUGUUGAAACCCAUUCUUCAUUUCAUGAAAGCUCCCUGAUAAGCCCAGGGUUGUCAGGAAGCUGUGUGCUCAAACUGUAGCAGAAGUCUAUGCUGUCUGUGACAAUACGACUUCAGAUCCUCCUCUGUUUGGGUUUAUGACCAAGAUCUUUUAUUUUGUGAUCCGUGUCAGCAUCAUUAACCUGAUAAGGCAAAGCACAAUCCCUAAAAGCACAUCCGAGAAGCUGAAGAAGUGGGACAGCAUGGAAACCAGCUAAAUCAGGUCAAGGACAAAAUAUGCCCCUCCGCUUAGCCAAACUCCCCCCACUUUGUUUUCACUUUCAGCGUCCCUCCAUAUUCCACCUCCCCUUUUGCCCUCUUUUUCCUUUCUUCCGCUCAUCCUUGCAUCCCUCCCUCAGAUGCUUUUUGUCCUUUGAUUUCUCCUUUUCCUCCCAAACCUGUGGUGUUUUGUGUGACUUGCACCUUCCACGGGUCCCAGAACUCAGUGCCACUCUUAAAGGCAAGGUCAUGCACACGGGUAGCGAGGUAUACUAACGUGUCGAUGAGCCUCCCUGCAACAGUCACUGGGAGCUGAUGAAGUGGGGGUGGCCCUGGAGUGGGGAGUUAUCAUUUGGUGUUUCCAGCUUGGCUGUGUAGCCCCUGACCGCUUUUCUAAAGGGAGAAAUCACCCCUUAUGUACAAGUGUAGUGGGGUGCAGUAUCCACUCCCACUGUGGAUGCUGAAGUGGGGAAAUCUUCCUUGUCUCUCAGAUGUACCCCCUUUUCCAGCACCAGCCAGGCCAGGGAGUGGCCAGUGACCCAGGGUGAACUCCUGGGACUCCCCUGCUUGGGACUGUGAGCUCAGAGCAAACGAUGCAAAAAUGAAGGGAUGCUGAGCUUCCUUUCAGAGAAGCUGCGGUGGUCCAGCAGGGGAUGUGUCUGGGACUGGCAGGCUGCAGGGAUGGUGUGUCCACUGCUAGUAAGGUCCAAGGACGGCAGAUUCCUGGGCAGAGUGUUUCUGCUCCGAGCCUUGGCCCACCCCACUGAGUUGUCUCGGUCCCCACCCAUCUUUUCAGCUCUCCUUUCUAGCUUUCUGUCAAUUCUGUGAGCCUCCAACCUCCCUCCAGUAAAUUUCUCAUUCUUUCAUGAAAUAGCCUGGGUUGAAUGUAUAUAUCAUAUGACCUAAAAUCUUCAUUCCUCGGUGUCUACCCCAAAGAAAUGUGUGUGUACAUUCACCAAAAGAAAGGUGCAAGAUUGUUCAUAGAAGUGCUGUUCACAGUAGCCCCGAACUGGAAAGCACCCUGAUGCCCAUGUUGAAUGGAUAGACAAACCACAGCACAUUGGCACAGUGAGGUUCUCUGCAGCAAGAAGGGAUGUUCCCGUGGCCAGGCGCAGCCCUGUGUGAGCCUCACGAGAGAAGGCAAGUUCACACUAUAUGGCUCCAUUUAUAUCAAGUAUGAAACCCACAGAACUCACCUGUGCUAUUGCAACAGGGACGUGAGUUACUCCUGGGUGGAUGGGAAGCAGAAGGGCACAAGGCCGUUUCUUGGAUAUUCUGGUGCUGGUGGCUGGUUACCCGAGCGUAUCCAGUGUGUAAAUAUUCGUUCUGAUUCCUGAUCUGGUGGCUGGUUACCCGAGAGUGUGCAGGGUAUAAACGUUCUCCAAGCCAUACCGUUUGGGUUUGCACCCUUUUCUGUGUGUAUGUUGUACUUCAAUAAAAAGUUGGUUAUGGGCU
rnacentral:lncRNA from 1 species